UACAGAGGGGGCGAGCGUUGCUCGGAAUUACUGGGCGUAAAGGGCGCGUAGGCGGCCCGCUAAGUCGCACGUGAAAUCCCCAGGCUCAACCUGGGAACUGCGUCCGAUACUGGCAGGCUUGAAUCCGGGAGAGGGAUGUGGAAUUCCAGGUGUAGCGGUGAAAUGCGUAGAUAUCUGGAGGAACACCGGUGGCGAAGGCGGCAUCCUGGACCGGUAUUGACGCUGAGGCGCGAAAGCUAGGGGAGCAAACGGG
rnacentral:rRNA from 1 species